AGAGUUUGAUCAUGGCUCAGAUUGAACGCUGGCGGCAGGCCUAACACAUGCAAGUCGAACGGUAACAGGAAACAGCUUGCUGUUUCGCUGACGAGUGGCGGACGGGUGAGUAAUGUCUGGGAAACUGCCUGAUGGAGGGGGAUAACUACUGGAAACGGUAGCUAAUACCGCAUAACGUCGCAAGACCAAAGAGGGGGACCUUCGGGCCUCUUGCCAUCGGAUGUGCCCAGAUGGGAUUAGCUAGUAGGUGGGGUAACGGCUCACCUAGGCGACGAUCCCUAGCUGGUCUGAGAGGAUGACCAGCCACACUGGAACUGAGACACGGUCCAGACUCCUACGGGAGGCAGCAGUGGGGAAUAUUGCACAAUGGGCGCAAGCCUGAUGCAGCCAUGCCGCGUGUAUGAAGAAGGCCUUCGGGUUGUAAAGUACUUUCAGCGGGGAGGAAGGGAGUAAAGUUAAUACCUUUGCUCAUUGACGUUACCCGCAGAAGAAGCACCGGCUAACUCCGUGCCAGCAGCCGCGGUAAUACGGAGGGUGCAAGCGUUAAUCGGAAUUACUGGGCGUAAAGCGCACGCAGGCGGUUUGUUAAGUCAGAUGUGAAAUCCCCGGGCUCAACCUGGGAACUGCAUCUGAUACUGGCAAGCUUGAGUCUCGUAGAGGGGGGUAGAAUUCCAGGUGUAGCGGUGAAAUGCGUAGAGAUCUGGAGGAAUACCGGUGGCGAAGGCGGCCCCCUGGACGAAGACUGACGCUCAGGUGCGAAAGCGUGGGGGAGCAAACAGGAUUAGAUACCCUGGUAGUCCACGCCGUAAACGAUGUCGACUUGGAGGUUGUGCCCUUGAGGCGUGGCUUCCGGAGCUAACGCGUUAAGUCGACCGCCUGGGGAGUACGGCCGCAAGGUUAAAACUCAAAUGAAUUGACGGGGGCCCGCACAAGCGGUGGAGCAUGUGGUUUAAUUCGAUGCAACGCGAAGAACCUUACCUGGUCUUGACAUCCACAGAACUUUCCAGAGAUGGAUUGGUGCCUUCGGGAACUGUGAGACAGGUGCUGCAUGGCUGUCGUCAGCUCGUGUUGUGAAAUGUUGGGUUAAGUCCCGCAACGAGCGCAACCCUUAUCCUUUGUUGCCAGCGGUCCGGCCGGGAACUCAAAGGAGACUGCCAGUGAUAAACUGGAGGAAGGUGGGGAUGACGUCAAGUCAUCAUGGCCCUUACGACCAGGGCUACACACGUGCUACAAUGGCGCAUACAAAGAGAAGCGACCUCGCGAGAGCAAGCGGACCUCAUAAAGUGCGUCGUAGUCCGGAUUGGAGUCUGCAACUCGACUCCAUGAAGUCGGAAUCGCUAGUAAUCGUGGAUCAGAAUGCCACGGUGAAUACGUUCCCGGGCCUUGUACACACCGCCCGUCACACCAUGGGAGUGGGUUGCAAAAGAAGUAGGUAGCUUAACCUUCGGGAGGGCGCUUACCACUUUGUGAUUCAUGACUGGGGUGAAGUCGUAACAAGGUAACCGUAGGGGAACCUGCGGUUGGAUCACCU
rnacentral:rRNA from 1 species